rnacentral:ribozyme from 1 species
UUUUGUCCUGUUAUCUGCAAGAAGGUAUCUUGUGAUAAUCCAAUUCCAACUAUGAUUCCAACUAUGAUUCCUACCAAGGUACCUCCUUCCGGUAGUAUUAGUCCUACUAGUGAAGAGAUUCCAG